UACAGAGGGUGCAAGCGUUGUUCGGAAUUAUUGGGUGUAAAGCGCGUGUAGGCGGUUAUUUAAGUCUGGUGUGAAAGCCCGGGGCUCAACCCCGGAAGUGCACUGGAUACUGAAUGACUAGAGGAUGAGAGAGGAAGGUGGAGUUCAUGGUGUAGGGGUGAAAUCCGUAGAUAUCAUGAGGAACAUCCGUGGCGAAGGCGACCUUCUGGCUCAUUUCUGACGCUGAGACGCGAAAGCGUGGGGAGCAAACAGG
rnacentral:rRNA from 1 species